rnacentral:rRNA from 1 species
UGGGGAAUAUUGCACAAUGGGCGCAAGCCUGAUGCAGCCAUGCCGCGUGUAUGAAGAAGGCCUUCGGGUUGUAAAGUACUUUCAGAGGGGAGGAAGGGAGUAAAGUUAAUACCUUUGCUCAUUGACGUUACCCGCAGAAGAAGCACCGGCUAACUCCGUGCCAGCAGCCGCGGUAAUACGGAGGGUGCAAGCGUUAAUCGGAAUUACUGGGCGUAAAGCGCACGCAGGCGGUUGAUUGAGUCAGAUGUGAAAUCCCCGGGCUUAACCCGGGAAUUGCAUCUGAUACUGGGCAGCUAGAGUCUUGUAGAGGGGGGUAGAAUUCCAUGUGUAGCGGUGAAAUGCGUAGAGAUGUGGAGGAAUACCGGUGGCGAAGGCGGCCCCCUGGACAAAGGCUGACGCUCAGGUGCGAAAGCGUGGGGAGCAAACAGG